rnacentral:rRNA from 1 species
UACGUAGGGGGCAAGCGUUGUCCGGAUUUAUUGGGCGUAAAGAGCGUGUAGGCGGCCUUACAGGUCAGCUGUGAAAACUCGAGGCUCAACCUCGAGACGUCGGUUGAAACCACCUGGCUAGAGUCCGGAAGAGGAGUGUGGAAUUCCCGGUGUAGCGGUGAAAUGCGUAGAGAUGCGGAGGAACACCGAUGGCGAAGGCAGCCCCCUGGGCUAGCACUGACGCUCAGGCACGAAAGCGUGGGGAGCAAACAGG